rnacentral:rRNA from 1 species
AUUGAACGCUGGCGACAUGCCUUACACAUGCAAGUCGAACGGCAGCACGGGUGCUUGCCCCUGGUGGCGAGUGGCGAACGGGUGAGUAAUACAUCGGAACAUGUCCUGUAGUGGGGGAUAGCCCGGCGAAAGCCGGAUUAAUACCGCAUACGAUCUACGGAUGAAAGCGGGGGCCCUUCGGGCCUCGCGCUAUAGGGUUGGCCGAUGGCUGAUUAGCUAGUUGGUGGGGUAAAGGCCUACCAAGGCGACGAUCAGUAGCUGGUCUGAGAGGACGACCAGCCACACUGGGACUGAGACACGGCCCAGACUCCUACGGGAGGCAGCAGUGGGGAAUUUUGGACAAUGGGCGAAAGCCUGAUCCAGCAAUGCCGCGUGUGUGAAGAAGGCCUUCGGGUUGUAAAGCACUUUUGUCCGGAAAGAAAUCCUUGGCCCUAAUACGGUCGGGGGAUGACGGUACCGGAAGAAUAAGCACCGGCUAACUACGUG